rnacentral:rRNA from 1 species
AUCGGUGACAGGUGGUGCAUGGUUGUCGUCAGCUCGUGUCGUGAGAUGUUGGGUUAAGUCCCGCAACGAGCGCAACCCCUAUUGUUAGUUGCCAUCAUUCAGUUGGGCACUCUAGCGAGACUGCCGGUAAUAAACCGGAGGAAGUGGGAUGACGCCAAUCAUCAUGCCCCUUAUGACCUGGGCUACACACGUGCUACAAUGGUUGGUACAACGAGUUGCGAGUCGGUGACGGCGAGCUAAUCUCUUAAAGCCAAUCUCAGUUCGGAUUGUAGGCUGCAACUCGCCUACAUGAAGUCGGAAUCGCUAGUAAUCGCGGAUCAGCACGCCGCGGUGAAUACGUUCCCGGGCCUU